UACGAAGGGUGCAAGCGUUGUUCGGAAUUACUGGGCGUAAAGCGCGCGUAGGCGGGUCAGUAAGUCGAUUGUGAAAGCCCUGGGCUUAACCUGGGAAUGGCAGUCGAAACUACUGAUCUUGAAUGUCUGAGAGGAUGGCGGAAUAACCGGUGUAGUAGUGAAAUACGUAGAUAUCGGUUAGAACACCUGAGGCGAAGGCGGCUAUCUGGCGGCACAUUGACGCUGAUGCGCGAAAGCGUGGGGAGCAAACAGG
rnacentral:rRNA from 1 species